AUUGAACGCUGGCGGCAUGCCUUACACAUGCAAGUCGAACGGCAGCACGGGGGCAACCCUGGUGGCGAGUGGCGAACGGGUGAGUAAUACAUCGGAACGUGUCCUCUUGUGGGGGAUAACCAGUCGAAAGAUUGGCUAAUACCGCAUGAGAUCGCAAGAUGAAAGCGGGGGACCGCAAGGCCUCGCGCGAGAGGAGCGGCCGAUGUCGGAUUAGCUAGUGGUGGGUAAAGCCUACCAAGGCGACGAUCCGUAGCUGGUCUGAGAGGACGACCAGCCACACUGGGACUGAGACACGGCCCAGACUCCUACGGGAGGCAGCAGUGGGGAAUUUUGGACAAUGGGCGCAAGCCUGAUCCAGCCAUGCCGCGUGUGUGAAGAAGGCCUCGGU
rnacentral:rRNA from 1 species